rnacentral:rRNA from 1 species
AUUGAACGCUGGUGGCAGGCCUAACACAUGCAAGUCGAGCGGUAGCACAGAGAGCUUGCUCUCGGGUGACGAGCGGCGGACGGGUGAGUAAUGUCUGGGAAACUGCCUGAUGGAGGGGGAUAACUACUGGAAACGGUAGCUAAUACCGCAUAAUGUCGCAAGACCAAAGUGGGGGACCUUCGGGCCUCAUGCCAUCAGAUGUGCCCAGAUGGGAUUAGCUAGUAGGUGGGGUAACGGCUCACCUAGGCGACGAUCCCUAGCUGGUCUGAGAGGAUGACCAGCCACACUGGAACUGAGACACGGUCCAGACUCCUACGGGAGGCAGCAGUGGGGAAUAUUGCACAAUGGGCGCAAGCCUGAUGCAGCCAUGCCGCGUGUGUGAAGAAGGCCUUCGGGUUGUAAAGCACUUUCAGCGGGGAGGAAGGCGUUAAGGUUAAUAACCUUGGCGAUUGACGUUACCCGCAGAAGAAGCACCGGCUAACUCCGUGCCAGCAGCCGCGGUAAUACGGAGGGUGCAAGCGUUAAUCGGAAUUACUGGGCGUAAAGCGCACGCAGGCGGUCUGUCAAGUCGGAUGUGAAAUCCCCGGGCUCAACCUGGGAACUGCAUUCGAAACUGGCAGGCUAGAGUCUUGUAGAGGGGGGGUAGAAUUCCAGGUGUAGCCGGUGAAAUGCGUAGAGAUCUGGAGGAAUACCGGUGGCGAAGGCGGCCCCCUGGACAAAGACUGACGCUCAGGUGCGAAAGCGUGGGGAGCAAACAGGAUUAGAUACCCUGGUAGUCCACGCCGUAAACGAUGUCGAUUUGGAGGUUGUGCCCUUGAGGCGUGGCUUCCGGAGCUAACGCGUUAAAUCGACCGCCUGGGGAGUACGGCCGCAAGGUUAAAACUCAAAUGAAUUGACGGGGGCCCGCACAAGCGGUGGAGCAUGUGGUUUAAUUCGAUGCAACGCGAAGAACCUUACCUGGUCUUGACAUCCACAGAACUUUCCAGAGAUGGAUUGGUGCCUUCGGGAACUGUGAGACAGGUGCUGCAUGGCUGUCGUCAGCUCGUGUUGUGAAAUGUUGGGUUAAGUCCCGCAACGAGCGCAACCCUUAUCCUUUGUUGCCAGCGGUUAGGCCGGGAACUCAAAGGAGACUGCCAGUGAUAAACUGGAGGAAGGUGGGGAUGACGUCAAGUCAUCAUGGCCCUUACGACCAGGGCUACACACGUGCUACAAUGGCAUAUACAAAGAGAAGCGACCUCGCGAGAGCAAGCGGACCUCAUAAAGUAUGUCGUAGUCCGGAUUGGAGUCUGCAACUCGACUCCAUGAAGUCGGAAUCGCUAGUAAUCGUAGAUCAGAAUGCUACGGUGAAUACGUUCCCGGGCCUUGUACACACCGCCCGUCACACCAUGGGAGUGGGUUGCAAAAGAAGUAGGUAGCUUAACCUUCGGGAGGGCGCUUACCACUUUGUGAUUCAUGACUGGGGUGA